UUGACGAAGAGGAGUACGAAAAGAAACUGGCGGAAGUCUUCGAAGGAGAUAAACUGGCAGCGGCAAAGAAAGUAUCGGCCACGUCUAAAGAAUGUUUCCGGAAGCAGUUCAUGAGUCGGAAAGAGUGACACGUAUGAGUGGUUACCGAAUACGUCUGGAAAUGACAAAGACAUGUACCUUUCGUCUGUACUGCAGUACAGAGUAAUAAAGAUCCCUAUGUUACUGA